rnacentral:lncRNA from 1 species
AUGGGUCCUCUCUUCGUAGGCUAAUGCAUUGGCCCUUUUUGACCCGUUUUGGGGCGAAAACAAAAACUGACUCCCGGGCAUAUUUUUUUCGGCCUUUAUGGGCAGAGAACUUUAAUACCGCUCGAAAUGAGGCCACCCAGUAGUUAGGUGUGAAUUUUCGAGACCUUUGGCACCGUUCUAAGAUGGGUCCUCUCUUCGUAGGCUAAUGCAUUGGCCCUUUUUGACCCGUUUUGGGGCGAAAACAAAAACUGACUCCCGGGCAUAUUUUUUUCGGCCUUUAUGGGCAGAGAACUUUAAUACCGCUCAAAAUGAGGCCACCCAGUAGUUAGGUGUGAAUUUUCGAGACCUUUGGCACCGUUCUAAGAUGGGUCCUCUCUUCGUAGGCUAAUGCAUUGGCCCUUUUUGACCCGUUUUGGGCGAAAACAAAAACUGACUCCCGGGCAUAUUUUUUUCGGCCUUUAUGGGCAGAGAACUUUAAUACCGCUCAAAAUGAGGCCACCCAGUAGUUAGGUGUGAAUUUUCGAGACCUUUGGCACCGUUCUAAGAUGGGUCCUCUCUUCGUAGGCUAAUGCAUUGGCCCUUUUUGACCCGUUUUGGGGCGAAAACAAAAACUGACUCCCGGGCAUAUUUUUUUCGGCCUUUAUGGGCAGAGAACUUUAAUACCGCUCAAAAUGAGGCCACCCAGUAGUUAGGUGUGAAUUUUCGAGACCUUUGGCACCGUUCUAAGAUGGGUCCUCUCUUCGUAGGCUAAUGCAUUGGCCCUUUUUGGGGCGAAAACAAAAACUGACUCCCGGGCAUAUUUUUUUCGGCCUUUAUGGGCAGAGAACUUUAAUACCGCUCAAAAUGAGGCCACCCAGUAGUUAGGUGUGAAUUUUCGAGACCUUUGGCACCGUUCUAAGAUGGGUCCUCUCUUCGUAGGCUAAUGCAUUGGCCCUUUUUGACCCGUUUUGGGGCGAAAACAAAAACUGACUCCCGGCAUAUUUUUUUCGGCCUUUAUGGGCAGAGAACUUUAAUACCGCUCAAAAUGAGGCCACCCAGUAGUUAGGUGUGAAUUUUCGAGACCUUUGGCACCGUUCUAAGAUGGGUCCUCUCUUC